rnacentral:lncRNA from 1 species
UUUGUUUUAGUUAUUGAAUGUGCUAAGAAUGAACGGAAACCAUAAUCGGAUUAUUAGUGGUGUCGUGUUGGUGCUUGGGCUGUUUUGAUUAAAGCAAACUGCAGGAAAAUUCUUUUUUGGCAUUAUGUAUAUGUUGAAUGUGAUUAUGAGUAUAUACUCCAAAGGAUGAAUACGAUAAGGUAGAUGUGUUGCGAAUUAUAAAAUGAGUUAUUGCUCGGUGUGUCGUUGCUUUGCUGCUAUGGUUGCCGAGACAGAACUGUUUUGGGGAGGGGGCUGUUUAAUAUGAUUCUUUGGGUUAUAUGUGUUAUUGGUAUUGCUGUGGAUAAUUUGGAUUGUUGUCGGAUUGGGACGAAGUAAGGAAAAUAGGGGAAGUGCUGCGGAAUUUUCGUUAGAUUAUUAGCUAGCAUACAAGAAAGUAAAGCACGAUGUUUAUCUAAUUGCGGCACGAUUGUUGCUUGUUAUAGAUUAAUAGCUUGAGCAGUAAAUAUUGGACGUGCGGCUCGAUUAUACGGUAUGUAACGCUGUCCCUUCUUUCUUUGUUUGGCAUGACUUUUAAAAAUAAGCGAACAACGGACAGAUUUGAUACUUACCUCUAGAGCGUCUAGGUGACGUAUAUUCUUGCUUCCACAAUUAUUCCUCUAUAUAUCGGCUAUGUCUAAGGCUAUGAUAAUCUCUAAUAUCUAUGGUAGUGCUUCUUAGAGUCAUUGAGAUUUUACGUUUCCAUAUCGUAUUAAAGGUUCAUAAUUUUUGAUAAAACAUUAAUCUUUGGUAAUACUCCUUGCUGGUUCACGUUGAUUGUUCUAUUGAGUUGUAAGAAAUGAUUUUAAUUGCAUAUGGUUGUUCUAUUGAGUCAUCUUUACCUUAUGCUUUACAUACUCAGUACAUUGUCCGUACUGACCCCCCUUUCCUCGGGGGGCUGCGUUUCAUGCCCGCAGGUGUAGACGCACAGUUCGGUGAUCCUCCCGCCUAGGAUAUCUACUCUGCUGAUUGGGAGAGCUCCACUGUUCCGGAGCCCAAUCGUUUUGGUACAUAACUUUUGUGUAGUCUUUUGCUCGUCUAUGGGUAUGGGAGGGCCCUGUCCCGUCGAGUUUCACUAAUGUACUCUUAGAGGUCUGUGGACAUUAUGUGGGUUGUAUAUAUAUGUUUUGGAUAAUGGUCUGGACAUGGUUUGUUUGGGAUGUCCGCUUGUACAGGGGCAGCCUUGUCAGCUGCUUACAUCAUUGUGUAUUGUGUAGUGGCAGCCUUGUCGGCAUACGUAUGUUAUUAUGCUUUGAAUAGUGGCGGCCUUGUCGGCUCGCGUAUGCUGUUAUGGUUGAAUGGUUAUGACUCCUUAUGAGACAGGUCCUCUUAUAUGUAUAUGACGUUGGGGUUGGCUUGAUUUGAUUAAAUUCCAUAUUGUCUUAGUUUCAGUUGGUUAUACUUAGCAGGUUUGUAUGUGGGUGUCCAAAACGGGCACUAGUCACGGCCCAUCGGGUUGGGUCGUGACACCACGACACCGAAUUCCACAUUAGCUCAUGUGGUCUAUGCCGGUUAGGGAAAGAUGUUCACUGAAGAUAAAAUGAAUGAAAUCUAAAUACGAUAAACUAAAAGUAUUAACUUAGUCUAGGUAGGGGUAUGAGACUCUACCUAAACAUUUCACUAGUUACCCUUGAAGAGAAUCUGAGGAGGAUGUUCUAAUGUAUGAAUAUGCUUAUGUAUAUUAUGAACUUGCGCAUUGUUGAUACUAUAUGUUUAUUGGUGUCACUUAUGUAUAUGUGUUUGUCUACGUUGUUAAAUUAUAAUAAUAUGUACUCUUAAAUGCUAUCCUAUUUGAAGUAAGAGGUUGGUAAUGGUUCUUGUUGAGUUACUUGAUUGACUAAGUUCGUGGGUUUUUUCUUGUUCAUUGCAUUUGUUGACUUGAUAAGGGUUUCAUGGUUAAUUAUCUUGCCUUGCUUAUGUUAUAAUCAACUCUUAUUCAUGCUUGUGGUUAUUUUUUCCUUGAUGAUUGAGUUACUUUACUAUAUAUUCAAUUACAUGAUAUGCAUUCAAUUGCAUGAUACGCAUGUUGACUUAACUAUUUUUGACAUUGUUGGUCUUAUAAUGUACAUGCCUAUGACAUAACGAAUAUGUUUUGUUGAUUCGAUAUGGUUUUGUUGAAUGUGCAUAUAGAUUUUCAAAGUAAAAUGCAUACAUAAUGAAAUAUUCUCUUUUAGCAUAUUUUCAUGAUAUGUAUUAAUAUGGUCUCAUACUUAGUACAAGUGGUGUACUAACCCCAUCAUUUUCUUUUCCCUAACAUUUUAGGUUUCGAUCGUUGAAGGACUUUCGGAGACGACUUUGAAGAAGACUUGGAGUUCAUAAUAAUCCAAGUUUGGUAGUCCUCAAUUUUCCAGGGACAUGCCACUAUGAAGCCUAGGAUGUUGCUUUAGUUUUAAGACUGAAUGUUUCUUUCCUUUUCAUUUGGAUAUUAAACGUUGUUUGACCAAUAUGUGGUCUUGUAUUGAUUGAUAUACGGGCUAGGCCCAAAUUAGAUAUAGUCUUACUAAAUAAUUAUGAGACGAGACGACAAUUUGAUACUAUGUUAUAAUCUAUAUGUUUAUGUGC